AUUUAUAUAGUUUAAAUAAAACCUUACAUUUUCACUGUAAAAAUAAAAUAUUUAUUUUUAUAAAUA
rnacentral:tRNA from 1 species